GCUUUGCUGUUCCGCCCCGUCAGCCCUUGCUGAGAUGGCUGACGAGAUGGCUAGGACUGAUCCUUUUAGAUCCUAAGAAGCCCCCGGGAGGAGCAGAACUUUGAGGGCGAAGGGGCCUUGUGGAGUACGAGAGGGCCUCCAAAGUGGACCAGUUUGUGACGCGCUUCCUGCUGCGGGAGACGGUGAGCCAGCUGCAAGCCCUUCAGAGCUCGCUGGAGGGGGCGUCAGAUACCCUGGAGGCCCAGGCCCAUGGCUGGCGGUAUGUAAGGGUGCUGUCAACCUGUGGGGCUAGUGCACAAGCGCCCAUUGUACCCCCAUUCCAAAUCCCCACAGUCCCAGCAUCCUGGAGCCUGCAUUUUCGGGCGGGGAAGCCAUGGCAGGGUAGCCAUGGCGGGGUGAAAUGAGACUGGCUUUGGGGCUAGGCCUCGGAGUCCCAGGAGGCUUGUCUUCCCCACCCAGGCUUAUCCCGUCCUGGGGCCCCAGUCCUCGGCCCUGUGAGCCUCACUUCCUCUAGGUCAGAUGCAGAGAGCGUGGAGGCGCAGAGCAGGCUCUGCGGCAGCCGGCGGGCAGGACGCCGAGCCCUGAGGAGUG
rnacentral:lncRNA from 1 species